AUGGCGGCCAUGGGCGACGACCUGCGGCUGGACUUCGACAAGCUCCCCAUCAAGCGCCUCGAGGCCACCGACGAGGCCGGCAACGAGCACUACCCGCCGGACGGCAGCAGCGAGGCACAGCGGCUGGCGGCGAUCCGCCGCGUCGACUUCUCCUGGGUCGUCGAGCGGGACGCCAAGAAGGCCAAGAAGGCGGCGGCCGAGGACGCCGCCCACAAGGCCUGGCCAUGGCAGGGCCUCCACGAGAGCCUGCAGCUGGCGCAGCAGGAGCUCACCGUCGUCCUCGACCUCAUCUCCGCGGUCGAGGCGAACGAUACCGUGGCCGUGGCGGCGACCAUCUCCAAGCCCAAGCCGCUGCCGGACGAAGUCCUCGUCGACAUGGCCGUCUCCGCCGCCACCAAACUCCAGCGCCUUCGGCAUCUGGGACAGUACUUCAAGCAAUCGGCCAAAACGAUGGAGCAGCAGUUCCAGAAGGAGGCUAGGUUCUACGGCUCAUUGAUCAGGUUGCAGCAGAACUGGAAAGUUAAGAGGCAGCGUGGGAAUGCUCCAGGAAGCAACAGCUUCAUGUUUGAUGUAGUUGACACUUCUCAGUUGGACACGACAGCAAUGUCCCGAUUGUCAUCAUUGCCUUUGGUUCCAAUCGAUCAGGACUCGUCGGGUAUUUUGUCUGUACAUGUCCCACAAAAGUCGUGCCGUUUCUUGAGCGUUCAGUUUCUUGGGGACAGUGCCAGCGGCGCGGAAGGCUACGCUUCCAAAGCGAAAGGUAUCUCAAGCACCACUUCUUCUGCAGCGGAAGAUGAUGCCUCGGAGAAUGAUGAUGUCAAUAAGUCUGUCAAACAAGCGCAUUCCAUUUUCCGCAAUAUCCACAAGUCAAUAUUUGAGGAGCAGGUAUUUGAUAUGGUGAUCCGUGAGACAUUUGUCCAAACUCAAGGCAUCAACGUAACUGGAAUGCGUGAGGAUUUUCUCCAAUUAGCCAUUGGCCAGGAGAGUUUGUUGUGCCUUUCACUUGCGAUUUCUGGACAGGAUAGUGACUCAGAAAUGGUGGGCCAUGAAGAGCACACUAAUUCAGAGGCGAAUCUUGUGUUAGCCACCACCAAUGGGAAGCAGGAGCCUUUAAAAAGUGGCGCCUCAGGGUUUCUUAGCCCGAAAAGUCUGGAGAUUUACCUGCUACAUAUGUUCCAUGACAACAUUCUUAAGAAAGUCAGAGACAAAUAUCGUAAUAUUGUUCGCUACCAGAGUCCUGCUCACACUGCAGAGCCUGCAGGUGAUGAGUGUGGCUUGCUAGGCCAUUUCUGCAUGACAGUUGCUCAUAAAAUAUUUUCAAAUAAAGUGCAGCUGGAGCUGGAGAGUGUGGUUAGCAGGGUUCCGUAUCUCCAUCUGCAGUCCCUUCCUACAUGGCAUUCUCGAACUUCUUCCUGGUCUAUCUGCCUAAGAGUCCCGCAGCCUAUUUUGGCUGCUGACCGACUCACGAAGCCUUCGGACAAUGGUGAGCCUAAAUACAAAUCUUCCAGGACACAGUUCAACACGAAGAUUGUCUUGAAGGAUGGCCAGAUAAGUUUGUUGGGCGAAGGUUCUCCGAGCAUUGCUGGAUCGUUGACCAGGAAGCUCUCGGAUGGGUAUCUGAUAAACAGUUACAGCUGUGACUUGGAGGACCUCCCAACGAUGGUUCUGCAGCAGGUGGCGAGCCAGGUGAUAAGCUGGCUCCACGAGGAGGCGCAGGUCCUGGGGACGAGUGUGACGAGGGACUUUUUAGGUCUCUACUUUGACCUGGACCACGGCGACACGACGCUGGGCCUGGUGGCGCACGUCGACCCAGACGAUGCUUAUGGGUGCGUGUCGUGGUACCUGACGGUGGACCAACCGGCGGAGGAGGACAGGAAGGCGCUGGCGGCGGACGACCCCUGGGCGGAGGAGAAGUGCAGGUUCCUGGGGUACCUGUCCCUGGAGGUGCUCUACUCCACCCUCAUGGACCUCAUCAACCUGUGUGGCACCGGCGCCCACCCGCUGAGAUGA
rnacentral:rRNA from 1 species